AACUGAUACUACCUGCGGGAACCUGCGGAAGGAUCAUUACUGAAGUGAUUUGGGGAUGUUGCUGGCCCUCUCUCAAGGGGGGGUACUGUGCACUCCUCGAAACAAUUCACAAUUUCCAUCACACCCCUUGUGCACACCUUGUAGGCACCCAAACCCACCUCCGGGUGGUGGGGUCCUAUGUAUUCCUUCAUCUCACACUCUGUUGAAUGGUGCCAUGGGACGCAUCUAAAGGAUUAUUUG
rnacentral:misc_RNA from 1 species